rnacentral:misc_RNA from 2 species
CCAACCAUCAAGCACCGCUUGGCGUUGGGCGCUUGUCCCCGCCCCCGGGCCGGGACUCGCCCCGAAUCCAUUGGCAGCCCCCGCACCGGGCCACACGAGCGCAGCAGAAUCCGCGCCUCGGGCACGGCGCGUGGGCGACCCACUGAGCGACCCCCC